UCCUCCUGGCUGCCCGUGGGCGCCCGCAGCGCCGACUGCAGCGUUUCGCCGUGCUCUGUGCCUUCUGAUCUUCGAGCCAACCCCUUGAAGGAAGCAGUUGCAGCGAGUGCAGAAGUUCUGACGGAAGUCCGGCUGAUAGGAGCCCAUGGCACAGCGGAUACAGCGGUGGAUGCUGGUGUUGUAGUAGUGCCCUGGGGAGCACUGGACUGCAGGUCAUUCCUCAGCUCACUGUCAGUGAUCAGACCUGGAGAGCCCCUGGCAUGGGCUGAGAAACCCCAACCCCACAGCUCUCCAUUGCUUCGCACACCGCCAAGAGAAGACCAGAGGACGGAUGAAAUGCCAUCUGGAAUACUAUGCAGUAAUGAAAACAAACGACGACCACCUACAGCCAUCUGGGUGAAUCUCUCAAACACGAUGUCGAGUGAAAGAAGCCAGACAUAGAGGGAGCACUUCCGGAGCUGGGCACGUGGCGCUGGGCGAACCGACCCCUGCUCGUUGGAGUGCUCCUCGGGCGUAGCCACGGCGGCGGCAGCUCCUUCCUCCUGCUCAUCUCGGAAGGCGCUGUCCACCCUCUCCCUCCUGGCUCUGCCUUCUCCCUGCAGCCAGCCAGCCAGCGGCCCUGGGUGUUAACCAUAGCAGGAGCAGCCACAGUGACUCCUUCACAACAUCACGCCACUGACCUUCCCACAGCAGACGCUCCGAGAGAUUCCGGGCCUUCGCCAGGGUCCUGAACUCACAGAGGUGGGGGCAUGUCUUUUCAGUUCUGGCCCUGUCUUUUAUUCUCUGACCCUGCUUUAGAGACUGGGACAGAGGCUGCUCGUUGCCAUCCCAAAUCCAUUUCUUCCUUGGCAACCGACUCUCAACUGUGUCCAAGGCAGCAUAGUGCUCAGGUAGAAGAAAACUUCCGGCCUCACUUGCAGAAACUCCCAGGGAAAGUCCUUAUAGGGUAGGGAUGAGGGACCCCCUCCUCUUUUUAUUUAAGAUUUAUUUAUUUAUUUGAAAGGAAGAGUGAGAGAGAGAGAGAGAGAAAGUCUUCCAUUUGCUGGUUCAUUCCGCAAAUGGCUGCAACAGCCAGAGCUGUGCCGAUCUGAAGCCAGGAGCCAGGAGCUUCCUCUGGGUCUCCCACGCAGGUGCAGGGGCCCAAGGACUUGGGCCAUCUUCUACUGCUUUCCCAGGCCAUCAGCAAGGAGCUGAAUCAGAAGCGGAGCAGCUGGGACUUGAACUGGUGCCCAUACGGGAUGCUGGCACUGCAGGUGGUGGCUUUACCCUCUAUGCCACAGAGCCGGCCCAACAGGGGACCUUUUUUAAACUUUCCUCGAUGGCUGGAAUUCAGAUGUAAUGGCUGGAGCUAGAAGCUCUUGCGGACAAUGAGGUGAUUUUGAGGAUCAAAGUGGCUGGAGUAGUACAGCAGAAAUAUAGACAGAGCCCGAGUCUCCAAUGACCAGAGGCCCCACACCAGCCCAGAUGCCCUCUUUAGACUUCUUCUAUGUGUGAAAGAAACUUCUAUCUUGUUUAAGCCACUGCUAUAUGAUUUUCUGUUGUUUGCAGCCCAGUUUAAUUUCUCCAGAGUCAGAGACCUCAAUUCUGGGGUUGCACAGUCUCUCCUGCUCCUUUCCUGAUCACUCACUGGGAGCGCGGAGUUAUGCCUGUGGGGCCUGGGUCGGGACAGCCCUCCCAGGAAGGUGUCUUUCUGCGCCCUUGAACCUGCCCAGAGUUCUAGACAAAAGGACCUGACACAGGACGCACCAUCUUCUGUUCCUGUGGCCAAGCAAACCUUGAUGGGGAAGAACACGUGAGAAUUCCAGGCACUCCGCAGGUGCAUAGAGUAGAUUCUUCUGUUUAUAAACACACACAUUUCAGACCCCCUGCACGCUCCCAGAGGGUGGAACAGAGAAUACAUCAUUCGGGGCCUACUCAUCUGCCCCUGAACUCCAAAGCACAGCACCAGUGGUAGGGUCCGUAUUUUUGUGAUCCGUGUGACAUGACUCAGCACCUGUAAAAGAAUUUGAGCACACACACCCGAGAGAUGCGCAUUUGUUGACUUAGGAUAUGCGGAACUCCAAGUAACCAAAAGCCUGGCCGCAAUGGCUGGAUCCCUGAGGACCCUGACUGCUUGCUAAGGAGGAGGGUGGUCUGAGGUUCAUCAGGUCACAGAUAGGAUUAAGGACUGGGCUUUUUCUAAAUUUUUAUUUCUUUAUUUUCAUUUUUUUUAAAAGUGAAAGGUGGAGACAGACAGAAAUCUUCCAUCUGCUGGUUCACUCCCCAAAUGCCCACAACAACCAGGGUUGGGCCAGACCAAAGCCAGGAGCCUGGACUCUGUUCCGUGUGAGUGGAAAGACUGAAGUUAUUGAGCCAUCUCCGGCUGCCUUCGAAGGUACACAUUAGCAGGAAGUGCAGCCAGCCUGGGACUCAGUUACUCUGAUAUAGGAUGUGAGCUUCCCAAGUUGGCGUCUUAACCACCAUGCCAGGUGCUCACCCCUCUCUGGCUUUCUAGAGUGCCCUAAUGUGCUGACUCUUGUUCCCCGGUUUGUCACAUGUUCAAAGUCACAUGUUAAUCCUGUCUUUCAGCAGGAAAAUGGAGGCGGGAACAGUGCCAAGCACGCACACAAUGGGACCUGAUCCUUUCCCAUUUUUCUUUUUUUUUAAUUUGUAUUUUUUCAGAUUCAUUUAUUUGGAUGAAUGGCAGAGAGAGAGAAGGAGUGACAGAUACAUUAGGAAGCUGGACUGGAAGUUCAGAGUAGCUGGGGCUGAAACCAGGCACUCCCAUAUAGGACAAAGGCAUCCCAAGCAGCAGCACAGUGGUGCCUUUCUGAGAAGCAAAAUGUCUUUUCCAGAACCCUCUGGUGAACGUGCCCUGAGUCGCACACGGCUUUACUGGCUGCAGAACGGUCUGAGAAAGUAUCAGGCAACGAGGACAAGUCGGGGUGGGCCUGGCUCUUGUGUGGUCAUCCUGUAGAGUCUGCAAAACACAUGACCUCCUGGGAUCAUGUUUUGGGUACGUUAUAAGACCUACAUUAAAAAAAAAAAUUAGGGCUUUUCGUGGGUGGAACUGGAGGAUAGUGCGCUAAGUGAAAUAAGCCAGGCCCAGACGGACAAACACCAUGUGUUCUCACUUAGCUGUAGAAGCUAAAGAAGUCGAUGUGAUGGAAUUAGUAGGACAGUGGUUACCAGAGGCCAGGAAGGGAAGGGGCAUAGAGGAGGCCGAUUAACAGGUAUCAAAGUACAGCUGGAGGGAGGAACGGCUGCGGGUGUUCAGGCGCGGUAGGCUGACUGUAACUCACUGCAACUUAUUAUGUAGUUCAUAAAGAAGCGGAAGGGAGGAGUUUGAAGUUUUCAAACCCAAAGAAAUGAUAAAUCUUUAAGGGACGGAAAUGCUAAAUAGCCUGAUUUGAUCAUUACAUAUCACAUGCACAUAUGAGUUAUCACACUGUACCCCCAUAAACACGUACAAUUAAAACAUUGAAAAUAGGAAAUUAAAAGGAAGAGAUAAAAACAAAUAGACAGGGGCCAAUAUUGGGGCACAGCUAAGCCACCACCUGUGACAAUGGCGUCCUAUAUUAGAGCAAAAGUUUGAGUCCCAGCUACUCCACUUCCUAUCCAGCUCCCUGCUAAUGCACCUGGGAAGGCAUUGAAGAUGGCCUUAGUGCUUGGGCCCCUGCACCCACGUGGGAGACCUGGAUGGAGUUCUAGGCUCUUGGCUUUGGCCUGGCCAGCCCUGGCCAUUGUGGCCAUUUGGAGAGUGAGCCAGUGGAUAUGGCCAUUUGGAGAGUUAACCAAUGAAUGGAAGAUUCGCGCGCUCUCUCUCUCUCUCUCUCUAACUCCGCUUUCAAAUAAAUAGCAUAAAACAAAUUAAACAAAACAUUCUAUUGUUCCUUCCUGUCUCUGCCGCUCCCUUGCUGAAGCCUUGGUCAAACUCCUUAAUCUUGUGGCACUGCAUUGUCAUCAGCAAAAUGAGAAUAGGAGUAGAAUCCACCUGGCUAGGUUUCGUAUGUUCCCCAGCAUCGUGCCCAGCACCCUGUGAGCAGCAAUAAAUAUUAGAUGAUAGGCCUCCUUGAUAUCAGCUUCCCACUUACCAGAUGGGAGACGGUGUGGGGGAGCAGGUAUUGAAAGUAUUCAUGGCCGGCGCCGUGGCUUAACAGGCUAAUCCUCUGCCUUGCGG